GUUGUACACUUCCUUCUGAAAAGAGGAGCCGAUGUGACUCUGUGCAACCAUAGCAACCAGACACCACUGCAUGUGAGUCUUCCAGUCCUCCAGGAGGUGCUGUUAUCAGCCAUGUUCAGGGCUCUGCCCCACCAGACCCAGCUCCUCCAGGCUGCCUGGCAGGGAGACCUCCACUCCCUGCAGCACCUCCUGGUAAGUCCGCCUCCCCCCAAAACUCCUUUACAACGUCUCACCAUAGACCACACACACACACGCGCGCGCGCGCGCGCACAAGCACACACCAAGCGAGCACACAGUCACUGCCACCGCCACUGAUAUCACUCCCAACGCCCUUUACAUUGUGUAACUGGAAAUGUGAUACACAACAUCAGGUGCUUGUCUAACAACGGGGGUAGGCUAGAGUUUAGAUUAGCACAAAGGACAGCAUUGUGUGGAUGCAGCCGAAGCAGCUAUGAGCAUUCCAUCUGUAAUCAUCUCCAGGACAUUUCUCACUUGACCUAUCUUUGUUCGUAAUGUGUAACUCUCAGGCACCAGUGCUGAGCCUAUAUCUCAAUGUCUGUGUGUGUUGCAGGCCCAGACUGACCUAGUGGACGUGAACACUCAGAACCGCGACGGGCUGACCCCUCUAAUGCUGGCUGUGAGGGACGUCGACCUGUUUGAGGAGCUGGACGUCCGGUUGCCAUGGGAAUACAGACCUGUGGAGGUGGUCAGGGAACUGCUGGCUCUCUCAGCUGACCUGGGGGUGUGUGAUGUCAACGGCUGUUCUGCUCUUCACUAUGCUGCUCAGAUAGAGAGCCCCCUGAAGGACGAACUCAUCUACAUGAUGGUUGAGUCCCUCAGACAGCCAGCGCCCACGCCCCUGGACCUGCAGUGCUUCCACCCUGAUGAGCUGAGAGUAAACUCCCCCAGCCCCUCUCCCUCUCUGACCGAUGAGCUGAGAGCAACAAACUCCCCAAGCUCCUCUCCCUAUCUGACCCAAAAUGUCCUCAUUCAGACUGCUGUCAGCACAGAGGAUUUGCUGGAGUCUCCAGAGUGCGUUCUUUUAUCCGACCAUCAUAAAGCCAUCAAUCAAGAUAAGGGCCUCUCCCUCUCCUUCCAGAGCGCCAUGGAUACUCUGAUGGACAUGAGGCAAGCCUACCAAGAUCUGGGGAAGGGUAGCAGGUGGGCUCGCACACACGCUCCAUGUUAAUUAGAACGGCUAUAAAUUAAUACAACAAUACAGUAACCACAGAGCAAAUUGACAAUCAGGAACACACCCAAACACCAACACCUGUUCAUACAGACACACACAAACACUUAUGCACACAUCCUUGCAAUUAACAAGCACUCUCACACACAUGAACAAACAAAUCCACCGUAUGCUAGUCCCUCCUCCUUGUGUGUACUUCAACCCCCCAAUCCCCCUUCCACACCUCCCUCUCACAUAAAUACAGAAUAAGAAGCGUCCAGUUACAGUCAGGCCAGCAGUCAUCAUGUCAAGGGCAUGCCAAUCUCCCCAAACAGAGAACAGAGGGAGACCGAGAGAAACAGAGGGAGGGAGGGAGAAACCGAGGGAGAAACCGAGGGAGAGUCUACUUUGCUUUCUGAAACGGAUCAUUGUCUGUAGGGCUCUACUGCUGAAAGAGGUCCAAAGGGAUCCUGAGAGAAUAAACCCCUUUGAAAAGUUCUCACUUUACAGCAUCAGCCCCUGGCCAGCGUCCUUCUGCUGUGCCCUCUGUCCUGCGUCCCCACAGAACAGAGAAAGUGCAAUUGAAAGGGACAGUGUUCAUUAUUAGGACAUUAUACAAGACCCUACGUCUCAGCUCCAGGUUUUGUGAAUUAUAGAUGAUUUUAAUGAACCAAAAUAUUUUACCAAGAUUACCUGUGAGCAUUGUGAGGUGUAAAGGAUUUAUUCUCAAAUCUAAUUUGUUCUCUCUUCAGUCAAGGUUCGUCUCUACCCAGUCUGUGGCUCAGAGCCAUACACUUAGACAAACUGGAUCCUACACCGGGGCUGUUGAAGUCCACAGGAAGCUCCUCCUGCCUGCCUGUUCCCCCCAGGCUCAGAUGUGAAGCUGUGGCCCCCAGCCCGGUGACCUCUCACCCAGCCCAGCUGAGCCAAUCUGCCCCCGGUCUAUUGGAGCCUCUCCUGGACUCCAGCUCUCUGGUCCAGGCCCGAGUCCACAUCCAGAACAGUUAGUAAUAUAAUAAUCCUAUGUCUGCUCAAGGCUUAGAGGACAGUAUAAGGUCAGCAUGUUGUUGAUUAAUAUGUUUAGGUAAAGGUCAUGCUCAUGAAUGUGUUUAGAGAAGUACUCUUUGUUGAGGAAAUUAGUUACAUCAUUUUAUGUUUGUAAAGCUUGGCACGUUCUUGUCUUGCAGGGCUUGGGUGUGGAGAAACGGAGAAAAAAAGCAGUGGUCGAAAGGUAGGUCAACUCAAAUAAAUCAUGUUUUAUUCGUACAUCACAUUUUCAUACAGCUUCCUUAGUUUGUAAAACCACCUGUAAUCUGCUAUUUAUCCACCUUUGCCUUUUCCAAUCAUCUCUGUCCAGGGCUCCUUCCCUGCCCUGCUUCCAGGCCCCAUCAGGACCCCCAAGCUGUUAGCCCCUCUGGAGGGGAGGCAUAGAAACGGAGGAGUGCUGCCCGGCCUGAAGCACCCUUCUCCCCUAAAGC
rnacentral:lncRNA from 1 species